GAUGAACGCUGGCGGCGUGCUUAACACAUGCAAGUCGAACGGAGAUAUUAAAAAUGAAGUAAGGAGCUUGCUUCGGACGGAAUGAUUAAUAUCUUAGUGGCGGACGGGUGAGUAACGCGUGGAUAACCUGCCUUAUACUGGGGGAUAACACUUAGAAAUAGGUGCUAAUACCGCAUAAGCGCACAGCACCGCAUGGUGCAGGGGUAAAAACUCCGGUGGUAUGAGAUGGACCCGCGUCUGAUUAGGUAGUUGGUGGGGUAACGGCCUACCAAGCCGACGAUCAGUAGCCGACCUGAGAGGGUGACCGGCCACAUUGGGACUGAGACACGGCCCAAACUCCUACGGGAGGCAGCAGUGGGGAAUAUUGCACAAUGGGGGAAACCCUGAUGCAGCGACGCCGCGUGAGCGAUGAAGUAUUUCGGUAUGUAAAGCUCUAUCAGCAGGGAAGAAAAUGACGGUACCUGACUAAGAAGCACCGGCUAAGUACGUGCCAGCAGCCGCAGUAA
rnacentral:rRNA from 1 species